ACUCCUACGGGAGGCAGCAGUGGGGAAUUUUGCGCAAUGGGGGAAACCCUGACGCAGCAACGCCGCGUGAGUGAUGAAGGCCUUCGGGUCGUAAAGCUCUGUCAGAGGGGAAGAAAUGCAGGGUGCUAAUAUCGCUUCUGCUUGACGGUACCCUCAAAGGAAGCACCGGCUAACUCCGUGCCAGCAGCCGCGGUAAUACGGAGGGUGCGAGCGUUGUUCGGAAUUAUUGGGCGUAAAGCGCGUGUAGGCGGUUUGUUAAGUCUGAUGUGAAAGCCCCGGGCUCAACCUGGGAAGUGCAUUGGAAACUGGCAGACUUGAAUACGGGAGAGGGCAGUGGAAUUCCUAGUGUAGGAGUGAAAUCCGUAGAUAUUAGGAGGAACACCGGUGGCGAAGGCGGCUGCCUGGACCGAUAUUGACGCUGAGACGCGAAAGCGUGGGGAGCAAACAGGAUUAGAUACCCUGGUAGUCCACGCCGUAAACGAUGAGAACUAGGUGUUGCGGGUA
rnacentral:rRNA from 1 species